CUGCUUGAUCGACAAUCACAACAACAACACGUGCAGAUCCUGCUGAUUAUUUUGGUUUUAAAAAUGUCACUUUAACAGCGCAUAUUUCAGCUCAAUUGCAAACAAAACCGACACACAGUCCGAUAAAAUGCUGGAAACAAGUGUCACGCGACUCACCUAAGAAGUGCUGUGCUGUGGAUUGUAAAGCAGAGCUCUGGGACGUGUGGACAGACAGAGACUGUAAUGAUGGACAUCUGCUCGUGGACAGUCUGUCCAAAAGCAUAACCACUGCUGGUCACAGUGCGGGAAGCUCCGGGGGGAGACUGUACUGGUAUCCCCCUUCUUUGGGCGCGCCUUCACACACACUCCAGCAUUCACUCAUAUCACAGAGACCUGGCUGGGAUCAAACCAGCAACCUCUGAACCCGUGAGGCAGCGCUCUUACCUGUGAGCCACAGGUCUCUUGUGAGAGCACGUGAAGGAACUUAUUUUUGACUGUUGACUUGUGAGUUCCCAAUAAAGAAGUUAAAGUAAGCUGUGUACGUGAUAUA
rnacentral:tRNA from 1 species